AUGAAAAUUAUUAUAUAUCGGUGGUGCAAAUUAGCAAGAUAAUAAUGCCCUCAGGCUUAAAUUCACCAUCUUCAUCACCUUCUCCAUCAGUACCUUCACCUUCUCCAUCAGUACCUUCACCUUCUUCGUCAGUACCUUCACCUUCUCCAUCAUCUCCUCUUUCAUCACCUACUUCAUCAACUCUCAAUAUAACCAAAAUUCUAAACGACUAUCCAGAUUUCAACCAAUUCAAUAGUUACCU
rnacentral:lncRNA from 1 species